rnacentral:rRNA from 1 species
UACGUAGGGUGCGAGCGUUAAUCGGAAUUACUGGGCGUAAAGGGCGCGUAGGCGGCCUUCUAAGUCGAACGUGAAAUCCCCGGGCUCAACCCGGGAACUGCGUCCGAUACUGGAAGGCCUGAAUCCGGGAGAGGGAUGCGGAAUUCCAGGUGUAGCGGUGAAAUGCGUAGAUAUCUGGAGGAACACCGGUGGCGAAGGCGGCAUCCUGGACCGGCAUUGACGCUGAGGCGCGAAAGCCAGGGGAGCAAACGGG